AGAGCAAGAGCCCGGAGAUGGAACCUGAGACAAGGUUCCAGGCCCUACGGGGUGCAGCAGGCGCGAAACCUCCGCAAUGUGAGAAAUCGCGACGGGGGGAUCCCAAGUGCCAUUCUUAACGGGAUGGCUUUUCAUUAGUGUAAAGAGCUUUUGGAAUAAGGGCUGGGCAAGACCGGUGCCAGCCGCCGCGGUAACACCGGCAGCUCUAGUGGUAGCAGUUUUUAUUGGGCCUAAAGCGUCCGUAGCCGGUUUAAUAAGUCUCUGGUGAAAUCCUGUAGCUUAACUGUGGGAAUUGCUGGAGAUACUAUUAGACUUGAGACCGGGAGAGGUUAGAGGUACUCCCAGGGUAGAGGUGAAAUUCUGUAAUCCUGGGAGGACCGCCUGUUGCGAAGGCGUCUAACUGGAACGGUUCUGACGGUGAGGGACGAAAGUUAGGGGCGCGAACCGGAUUAGAUACCCGGGUAGUCCUAACUGUAAACGAUGCGGACUUGGUGUUGGGGUGGCUUUGAGCUGUUCCAGCGCCGAAGGGAAGCUGUUAAGUCCGCCGCCUGGGAAGUACGGUCGCAAGACUGAAACUUAA
rnacentral:rRNA from 1 species